GGUCUAGUCUGAUUUAGAAUUUAAUAUUGUGUCGGGGUGUUGGCUGCCGCUGCUACACCAUCCGCUCACAACUGUUCUAUUUACAUGGUCUUCAGCUCGCCCACCUGUCAUGGCCUAGCGGCACAUGAGAGAGCUUACGGCUUGAGCUGUUCCGCCCCGUUAUGGCCCCAAACUGUUUGAGGAGAAAUACAUUGCAACGAUGGAUGGGAAUGACAUGGUUAUAGAGGGAGAGAAAGAAGCAGAUGGGGCAUACAACACGAUGGAUACGUUGCGGGUUAACAUGCCAAAACGCAAGAUCCCGUUUCAGUAGCUCGCCUCCGCCAUGGACUAACUCCGCUGUCGUUGCCCCAACCUGACGGGCCUGUGCCUCGCUGACGCACCUC
rnacentral:lncRNA from 1 species